GAGCUGUUACAGUCAGAAGAUUCCGUGCACUCUCACUAUGACUAUCCUGCAUAAUUUUGUCCCAAUCUAAAUGGGCUCCGUCUGAGAUAUGUGGAACAAAAGCAGAAGACAAAGGUGAAAAGUCCUCAAUCGUUGCCCCUACUUCUCCACUCGAAUUUGGUCUUGCAAGAGCAAAUGCACCAGAAACCUGUGCACCAGCCUGGAUUAUGCAACCCCAGUAACGUAAAGCAGAAGCCAUAGACACAGGGCUGUUUCUAUCCACCACAAUAUAGCAACCAAACCUUUUUGGUUCUGCAAAUAUUGAAGACCCUCUCUCCAAUACUUGUUCUAGAAGGUCCCAGAUUUCUGAACUCAUUUUCCCAUUCAGAUUAGGAUUUCUA
rnacentral:misc_RNA from 1 species